UACGUAGGGUGCGAGCGUUGUCCGGAAUUACUGGGCGUAAAGAGCUCGUAGGUGGUUUGUCGCGUGUUCGUGAAAACCGGGGGCUUAACCCUCGGCGUGCGGGCGAUACGGGCAGACUGGAGUACUGCAGGGGAGACUGGAAUUCCUGGUGUAGCGGUGGAAUGCGCAGAUAUCAGGAGGAACACCGGUGGCGAAGGCGGGUCUCUGGGCAGUAACUGACGCUGAGGAGCGAAAGCGUGGGGAGCGAACAGG
rnacentral:rRNA from 1 species